rnacentral:rRNA from 1 species
UACGAAGGGUGCAAGCGUUACUCGGAAUUACUGGGCGUAAAGCGUGCGUAGGUGGUUCGUUAAGUCUGAUGUGAAAGCCCUGGGCUCAACCUGGGAAUUGCAUUGGAUACUGGCGAGCUAGAGUGCGGUAGAGGAUGGCGGAAUUCCGAGUGUAGAGGUGGAAUGCGUAGAUAUCGUAAGGAAGACCAGUGGCGAAGGCGGAUCUCUGGACAGUUACUGACACUGAGGCACGAAGGCCAGGGGAGCAAACGGG